CCGGACUCCGAGUCGGAAAGGGACCCGCGCCGCGCCAUGCUGCCGCCGCUGCCGCCACCGCUUCCGGCCGCGUGCGCGCGCCCCCACCGCCUCUUCCGGCGAUGCCGGGGCCGCGGUUGCCGCGGCGACGGCGGCGGCAUCAUGUCGGCGGUGGUGGCGCAGCCCGUGGCCGUCUUUGGCUGCCGGCCGCGGGUCGCCGGCGGCGUCUGCUUCUUGGAGGACCAGGUCGUGCUGCACGCGGCGGGGACGGGCUGCCUCCAGCUCCACCUCGAGCAGAAAUGGCACAAGUUCGUCCCAGGCACCGAGAAGAGCGGUGGCGUGCAGGCGCUGGCCGUCAGCCCCAACCGGCGGUACCUGGCGGUCUCGGAGACGGUGGCGGAGCAGCCGGUGCUGACGGUCUACGAGCUGUCGGAGGUACCGGCGCGGCGGCGGAGGAGGCUGGCCGCCGCCGAGCUGCCGGCGCGGGAGGCGGUGUCCCUGGCCUUCUCCCCUGACUGCCGGUACCUGGCGGCCGCCACGGCCCCCCCCGAGGGGCACCUCACCUACUGGCUCUGGGAGAAGCAGCGGCUGAUGGCGGUGGUCCGCCUCCGGGCCCCAGGCAGCGGCAUCUGCCAGGUGAGCUUUAGUCCUGAAGACAAUGCACAGGUUUGUGUCACUGGAAAUGGCUUUUUUAAACUGUUUAAGUAUAGUGAAGGAACUUUGAAGCAGACGAAUUUACAAAAGGGAGAACCGCAAAACUACUUGUGCCAUGCCUGGCUGUCCAAGGAGGAAGUGAUAUGUGGCACUGACACAGGCAAACUUAUCUUGUUUGAAACUGGGGAGUUGCACUGGGAGACAACUGUAGAGUACAAAAAAUCACCCAGGGAACUAGAAGAAGAUGCAAUCUCAAAAGUAUAUGAGAGUUUUUCUGACAUCUCUUGUGGACUGGCCUGUGAAGAUAAUGCUUCACAACAGGAUCCUUUGCCUCAAAUAUCUGCAGUUGCAGCUUAUUCCAAAGGCUUUGCAUGUUCAUCUAGCCCAGGAGUUGUUCUUCUGUUUGAGAAGACCAAGGAAAAGGAAGUCUACAAGGAGAGUCAAGAAAUCUGGCUUCCUCAGGACCUGUUCAGCAGUGAGCCAAAAAAGUCGAGCAGACAAGACAUUAUAUGUAUUUGUUUCAGCCCCUCUGAGGAAAGGAUGGUCAUUAACACAAAUAAAAAUCAGCUUUACAUGUUUACUAUGCUCUCCAGCGAUUUAAUGAAGGAGAAGACAACUUAUUUUGCAUAUCUGAAUUUCCCAUUGCAUUCUGCUUCAAUCACUGGCCUGGACAUCUGUAUUUGGAAACCCAUUCUUGCUACUUGUUCCCUGGAUAGAUCUGUUCGCAUCUGGAAUUACAAGACCAACACUUUGGAGCUGUAUAAGGAAUAUCGGGAGGAAGCAUACACAGUAUCACUUCAUCCCACUGGCCUUUUCUGUUUGGUUGGGUUUUCUGACAAACUCCGAUUUAUAAGUCUACUGUAUGAGGACAUGCAUGUUUUCAAGGAGUUUCCUGUGAGAAAAUGUAGAGAGUGCUCAUUCAGUAACAGAGGCCAUCUUUUUGCUGCAGUUAAUGGAAAUGUGAUUCAAAUUUAUUCCAGCAUCACCUUUGAGAAUAUUAAUAAUCUGAGAGGACAUAGUGGGAAGAUACAUGCAGUUAAAUGGAGCACAGAUGAUGCUGAAUUUUUCUCCUGUGACACACAUGGUGCUGUGUAUGAGUGGAACUUGUUGACAGGUAAAAGGAAGUCAGAGUGUGUGCUCAAGUCCUGCAUGUACAGCAGCAUUGCCCUGUCUUCUGAUGCCAAAAUCAUCUUUGCCGUCGGAUCUGACCAAACUAUCAAAGAAAUUUCAGAAUCUUCGAUUCAGCAUGAAGUGUCAGCUUUUGGUGUUGUUUAUACUGCAAUAGCUGUUUCUCAUUCCGGGCACAUGGUAUUUGUUGGUACAUCUCUGGGGACAAUUCGAGCUAUGAAAUACCCAUUACCUUUGACAAAGGAUUUCAACGAGUAUCAGGCCCAUGCAGGCGCUGUUACAAAGAUGUCCAUAACAAAUGAUGACCUAUUUUUGCUUACCGCCUCAGAGGAUGGCUCUGUAUUUAUAUGGAAAGUCUAUGAUAAAGGAGGUGGGAUACUGAAAUGGGAAAAGGAAGUUGAGUAUGCUGAGGAAGUGCUGAUCAUGAGAUCAGAUAUAGAAGAGAAGAGUCAGGCAAUGCUAGACCUGCAGAUUCGUGUGAAAGAGCUACAGACAGAAAAGGAUUACCAGCUAUGUCUCAAGGACAUCUACUGUAAUGAAAAAAUAAAGGAACUGGAAGAGAAUUUCACUCAGGAAAUAGGCUCCCUUAAAACCAAACACCAGAUUUUACAGGCAGAGAAAGAAAAACAGGAGCUACAACACCAGCUUCAACUGUCUGAGCUGAUGAAUAAACAAGCCAGGGAGAUGCAACAGUUAGAAUCUGACAAUAAUCAGAAGCUUUUAAUGGAAAAUGAGAAAUACCAGGAGCUGGAAGUGAAAUCCCAGAGGAUGCAGGAGGAAUACGAGAAACAAUUGCACAAUUUGGAGGAAAGCAAAAGCAGGGCUGUGAAGGAGCUAACAGAAUAUUAUGAGGAAAAACUUAAUGAGAAAUCUGUUCAGCUGGAAGAGGCAAAGGAGGAUAUGAAGCAGCAGCUUCAAGUACAUGAAGAAAUUAAGAAACAAAUUGAAGAAGAUGAAGACCAAGAAAUCCUGGAAAUCAAAAUCAAGUAUGAGAGACGGCUCUUGGAAGAAAAGGAAUCAAACCUGCAACUGAAAGGAGAAAUAGGAGUCAUGAAUAAAAGGUUGAACAGUCUACAGAAAGAGCUCAAGGAGAGAAACAGAGACACUGAGGAAAUGAGACUGGAACAGCAGAAGCUGCAAGGGGUCAUCAAGUCACUAGAGAAGGACAUCUUAGCACUGAAGACAGAGAUUCAAGAGAGAGCUGACACUAUCCAAGACAAGGAGAAGCAUAUAUAUGACCUAAAAAAGAAAACUCAGGAACUGGAAAAGUUCAAGUUUGUACUGGAUUACAGAAUAGAGGAGUUUAAGAAGCAAAUAGAGUCACGUGAAAACGAUAUUGAAACAACGAAGGAGCAGAUCCGUGAGAUGGAGGGGGAGCUGGAACGAUUCCGUAAGGAGGGCACACAACUGAAGCUGAACAUCACACAACUGCAACAGAAACUAAAGGCAACUGAUCGCGAGAUGCACAGAGAGAGGCAGAAGAAGCAAAACAUGGAAGCUCUCAUCAAACGAUUUAAAGCAGAUCUUCAUAAUUGUGUGGGCUUCAUUCAGGAUUCCAAAAAAAUGAAGGAUGGGAUCCGUGAGCUCUACAGCAAGUAUGUGCAGCAAUCAGACAUGGUGGAGACUGAUGCAGUAGACAUAGAUUUGCAGCAGGAGUACAUGAGACAGCGAGAGUAUCUUGAGAGGAAUUUGGCAGCUUUAAAAAAGAAAGUGGUGAAGGAUCAGGAAAUCCACCAAGCUGCUUACAUGCGCAUCAUGCAGGAAAAUGUGAGUCUGAUUAAGGAAAUAAAUGAGUUGCGGCAAGAACUGAAGGUGGCCCACACCCAGGUGAAUGACCUCCGGUCAACACUAAGAUUAACCAAGAAAAAGCAAGCAAUUCAAGACACAGCUCCCUCCAGUGAACUGCUGUCCAGCCCAGCUGUCCUGCGGUUGAAUGCAGAGAAGGAAAAUGAGACAAUCAUAGAAAUGCAGCAGCUAGAAAUUCAAUACCUGCGAGACCAAAUCCAGGAGAAGGGGCAAGUCCUUGCAGUUCAGCCUCUCUUAGAUGGCAGUCUACCUCAGCUGAACCUGGAAAGAAGCCACAAGACACAGCAACAGUGACCUGGUUCAAGGAUGCCUUACAUUAUUAUAUUCUCCUGGCAAGAUCAGAAAUGCAACAGCAUAGAUUAGACUUACAUGAUUCUAUACUUUUCCACUAGAAGCAUUUAUGCAGCAGUCGCUGCUCUGAACACAAGGUAGCAACCUUCACUCCCUUCUACUUCCCUGGAAUCUGCCCUUUCCAUGAAGCUUAUGAGCCAAGAGAAAAAAAAUAAAUUUGUGUUAGUGCAAGACUGAACUUUGUGCCUUCAUGCUAUGGCAGAUAAGCAGGAAGUCAGCUCUUCUGCAGCAUAGUAGGCUCUGCUGAUGCCGCUGUCUCCCAGGGAGGGGGGUACUGCGGCUGCCUGGUGAUGGGGAGAUGGCACUGCAAUGACAUC